rnacentral:lncRNA from 1 species
UGUUGUCUACUCAACCCAGGUAUCACAGAACUUUGGCAAUCAGUGUGUGGAACAGGUUGAUGACUGUCAGGAGGAUUUCCAUGGGGAACAGACAUAUUUCUUUCAGAAGAAGAGAAAUCCACACCAGCAGUUAGAUGAGCAGCAGCAGGUCUCCUUCCCUCGUUAAAUGUUGUACUUUAUGGAUACCCAUGAAUCUUGUAACACUUAUCAAUUAAGUGCCCAAAUUUCUUACAGUAUCUACAGAACAAAGAAUCCUUAGCUUGGUCAAAGUUAACUCUUUCUCUGAAAUGAGAAGAAUUAGGCACUGUGGCCUUAUUGAAACCAGUUGGAUUCUUGUUUGUGUGGGCAUUGAAAGACAUAGAGUCUUGAUUAAACUGAGAAGGGGACUGAACUUGUCUCUACUUCUCAUCAUUGACAACCAUAUUGUAGACACUAUCAAGGGAGGGAGGAGGCUGCAUCAUCAAUAGGUUACUCCUUACCCCCAAGUAUGCUUCAUUAAGGCCCAUAAGGAAUUGAAACACCUUAUUCUCAUCAUCUUCCUGUAUGAUGCCAUUUCUGGCAGGACAAAUGCAUCUUUGUCCAUGAUUUGCACACAUUGUUCCUAAUUCAUCCCAUAGACCUUUAAGUUUGUUAAAAUAUGAAGCUACAUUUAGAGAUCCUUGACAGGUAUGAGAGAGUUCUCUUUUAAGUUCAAAAAUUUUGGUUCUGUUAGCAGUACCAUAUCUAGCUGCGAGCUGUGCCCAUAUGCUCUGUGGAGUAUCAGAAUACUGCACACUUUCAGCAAUUUGAG